rnacentral:tRNA from 1 species
GGGAAUGUGGCUUAGUGGUAGAGUGCUUGCCUGGCAAGCAUGAAGAAAGCCCUGGGUUUAAAUCCUCAGUACCA